UGGUAGAUGCACCUUAAUCUUCAGUCCCCCAAUUUGUUUAAAUCAAAUGGGGGUUUUCUCU
rnacentral:sRNA from 1 species